UGGGUACUACACCAUCUGGAAACGGUGGCUAAUACCGGAUAUGCCGAAAGGAGAAAGGUUAACUGCCUGGAGAUGAGCUCGCGUCUGAUUAGCUAGUUGGUAGGGUAAAAGCUUACCAAGGCGACGAUCAGUAGCUGGUCUGAGAGGACGAUCAGCCACACUGGGACUGAGACACGGCCCAGACUCCUACGGGAGGCAGCAGUGGGGAAUUUUCCGCAAUGGGCGAAAGCCUGACGGAGCAAUACCGCGUGAGGGAGGAAGGCUCUUGGGUUGUAAACCUCUUUUCUCAAGGAAGAAUAAUGACGGUACUUGAGGAAUAAGCAUCGGCUAACUCCGUGCCAGCAGCCGCGGUAAUACGGAGGAUGCAAGCGUUAUCCGGAAUGAUUGGGCGUAAAGCGUUCGCAGGUGGCAUUGAAAGUCUGCUGUCAAAGAGUCUGGCUCAACCAGAUACAGGCAGUGGAAACUUCAAAGCUAGAGUGCGGUAGGGGCAGAGGGAAUUCCUGGUGUAGCGGUGAAAUGCGUAGAGUUCAGGAAGAACACCGGUGGCGAAAGCGCUCUGCUAGGCCGCAACUGACACUGAGGGACGAAAGCUAGGGGAGCGAAAGGGAUUAGAUACCCCAGUAGUCA
rnacentral:rRNA from 1 species